rnacentral:lncRNA from 1 species
AGGAUCCUGAAUAGGAAAAUGCAGCAAUUUCAAAAGAAGGAUACAGAGGAAGGUAGCAUGCCUUCAGUGACCAUUGCCUUAGGAGGAGAUGAUAUCCAGGUUAUGUGCUGGGAUCGGAUUUGCUUUUAAAUCUCUGUCCGUCUUCAUUACCAUGAGGAGGGGACUGAGGCAAAGACAAACCAAG